AGGGCCUCAUGCUUCUUUUUUGGACCCACUUGACGGAUGGGGAGACUGAGUUCAGAGAGGCCAAGUGGCUUGCCAGGGUCACGCAGCUGAUACACAGCAAAUGGAUUUUAAACCCACCUGACCGCAAUUCCAAGCAUUGUUUUCUUGGGUCAAACCUUGGGAGCUCAAAGGGUGAUCCUGACCUGUGAUGGCUCCAUUUUAUGCAGAAUAUUUUGUUUUGUUUUUUAAUUUGCCUGUUUACUCUAAUGUUCCCAGUCGUUUUCCUCCCAGGGAUCCUCACUCACAAGUGGACUCUGACGGCCUCGGGGGCUCAGAUUUCACAAUCGGCUAAGGCUAACAUAAGGCCUUCCAGGUUACAAGGCUGAAAGUUAUUUUCCAUCAUUCAUUUGUUCACUUUACAUAACAUGCACCUAUUGAGCACCUGCUGUAUACUGGGAACCAAGUUAAACACCAGGUUUGCAGAGGUGGACAAGGCCCUGUUCCUGCCUCCAGGGUCUCCAACCCAUCAGGAGACGCAGGCCCUUUGACAGACACUGGUGAUAAAAUGACAGUGGAGGUCUGUUCAAGAUACAGGUCUGGAGGCUGGGAUAUCCAAACUCAUGGUGCCGGCAGAUUCGUGUCUGGUGAGGACUGUUUUCUCUGCUUCAAGAUGGAGCCCUGUUGCUGCAUCUUUUCUAGGAAGAUGAACACUGUCCUCCUAUGGUGGAACAGAAGGGAAAAAGGCAUGAACGGCUCCCUUGUGCCUCUCAUAU
rnacentral:lncRNA from 10 species